CAUUCAUAAUUCAAAUUUCAAAUCAAAAGGCAAACCCGUUAUUGCUUAUUGCCUUUUAGUUUUCAUGUUCUUAACUGUUAAAUGCUCCGAUUAUUUAUUGUUUCUUACAUGUAAUUUCAUCAAUCAUUGAAUAAAAUGUCUUCAGCUGUACCUAAGUACCUUGGCUUGCGCCCUGCACCAUAUUAUUGGAACCGGGAAAUGUUUUGGACAUUCAAAUAGCGAUCCGUGCAAUGGGAGAUCGUGCAUUCAGUUUUUCAAAUCACCAGUAUAUGAAGUGUUAUUGGUUAAGAUUUUCUGGCUUUCUUUUGAAUUUAUGAAAUGCACAGGAUAGUACAUCGCUAAAACACAGUUAGGAGUCUAAUCUAAUUUCAACUAUUUCAAGAAAAGAACUGCAUGUACGUAUAAAUACAACAUCUUGUCUAGAAUGCUGAAUUGAAUGUAAUAGAUAACUCAACCAUUGCUGUGAAUUCAAAUAUGUGUGUAUAAAUUCGAUAUGAAAAAUGU